rnacentral:siRNA from 1 species
UGUGUACUUGUGGAGACGGGGUC